rnacentral:rRNA from 1 species
UUGAACGCUGGCGGCAGGCCUAACCCCUGCAAGUCGCGCGGAUGAAGGGAGCUUGCUCCUGGAUUCAGCGGCGGACGGGUGAGUAAUGCCUAGGAAUCUGCCUGGUAGUGGGGGAUAACGUCCGGAAACGGGCGCUAAUACCGCAUACGUCCUGAGGGAGAAAGUGGGGGAUCUUCGGACCUCACGCUAUCAGAUGAGCCUAGGUCGGAUUAGCUAGUUGGUGGGGUAAAGGCCUACCAAGGCGACGAUCCGUAACUGGUCUGAGAGGAUGAUCAGUCACACUGGAACUGAGACACGGUCCAGACUCCUACGGGAGGCAGCAGUGGGGAAUAUUGGACAAUGGGCGAAAGCCUGAUCCAGCCAUGCCGCGUGUGUGAAGAAGGUCUUCGGAUUGUAAAGCACUUUAAGUUGGGAGGAAGGGCAGUAAGUUAAUACCUUGCUGUUUUGACGUUACCAACAGAAUAAGCACCGGCUAACUUCGUG